GACAGAGGGUGCAAACGUUGUUCGGAAUUACUGGGCGUAAAGCGUGUGUAGGCGGCCAUGCAAGUCUGAUGUGAAAGCCCCGGGCUCAACCUGGGAAGUGCAUUGGAAACUGGGGAACUUGAAUACGGGAGAGGGUAGUGGAAUUCCUGGUGUAGGAGUGAAAUCCGUAGAUAUCAGGAGGAACACCGGUGGCGAAGGCGGCUGCCUGGACCGAUAUGACGCUGAGACGCGAAAGCGUGGGGAGCAAACAGG
rnacentral:rRNA from 1 species